CAGUCGCCGCGGGAAUACGUAGGGUCCAAGCGUUAAUCGGAAUUACUGGGCGUAAAGCGUGCGCAGGCGGUUGUGCAAGACCGAUGUGAAAUCCCCGGGCUUAACCUGGGAAUUGCAUUGGUGACUGCACGGCUAGAGUGUGUCAGAGGGGGGUAGAAUUCCACGUGUAGCAGUGAAAUGCGUAGAGAUGUGGAGGAAUACCGAUGGCGAAGGCAGCCCCCUGGGAUAACACUGACGCUCAUGCACGAAAGCGUGGGGAGCAAACAGGAUUAGAUACCCCAGUAGUCCCUGUCUCUUAUAC
rnacentral:rRNA from 1 species